rfam:Oryza glumipatula chromosome 10, whole genome shotgun sequence.
AAAGACUGCAGUUUUGCAUUGUUUAUGUCCAACGUUUAACCGUCCGUCUUAUUUGAAAAACUUUUACGAUUACUAUUUUUAUUGUUAUUAGAUGAUAAAACAUGAAUAAUACUUUAUGUGUGACUAUUUUUUUUUUAUUUUUUCAUAAACUUAUCAAAUAAGACGGACAGUCAACGUACGUUGGACACAGAAACCCACAACUGCACUUAAA